rnacentral:rRNA from 1 species
UAAAACGCGUUAUAGCCUCCAACUUCAACUAAUGUAUUAUACCAUAUAACUCUUAUAACCCUUUACCACUAUUGGAUGAUUCUACAAUUCUAUAGAAGACAUUAUGCUUAAACUAGUAACAAGAACAUGAAAUUCUCCUAAAUGUAAACAUAAGCCGUAAUAGACAAACCAACGGCAAUUAACGUCAAUAAAUUUUAUAUAUUAACCUUCAUGAAAAACUUAUAUAAUCUUACGUUAUCCUCACACAAGAACAUUUCAGGAAUGAUUAAAAGGAGAAGAAGGAAUUCGGCAAACAUUAACCCCGCCUGUUUACCAAAAACAUCGCCUCUUGUUAAGAUAUAAGAGGUCUAGCCUGCCCGGUGAUUAUUAAACGGCCGCGGUACUCUAACCGUGCUAAGGUAGCACAAUUACUUGUCCCUUAAAUGGGGACUAGAAUGAACGGCAUCACGAGGGUUAUACUGUCUCCUUCUCCCAAUCAGUGAAACUGACCUCCCCGUGAAAAGGCGGGAAUGUUAAUACCAGACGAGAAGACCCCAUGGAGCUUUAGACAAUAGACACAUUUUAACACCUCACAAUAAGUCCUUAAUUUAUGUCCUUAAGUCUUAGGUUGGGGCGACCAUGGAGUAAAAAUUAACCUCCACACUGAAUGGAUUUUCCUUAUUUUAGAGCUACACCUCCAAAAAACAGAAAACUGACACUUACUGAUCCGGAACCCGAUCAAUGAACUAAGUUACCCUGGGGAUAACAGCGCUAUCUACCUCAAGAGUUCAUAUCGACAGGUGGGUUUACGACCUCGAUGUUGGAUCGGGGUUUCCUAGUGGUGCAGCCGCUACAUAAGGUUUGUUUGU